rnacentral:rRNA from 1 species
UACGUAGGGGGCAAGCGUUGUCCGGAUUUAUUGGGCGUAAAGAGCGUGUAGGCGGUUAGGUAGGUCCGUUGUGAAAACUCGAGGCUCAACCUCGAGACGCCGAUGGAAACCAUCUGACUAGAGUCCGGAAGAGGAGAGUGGAAUUCCCGGUGUAGCGGUGAAAUGCGCAGAUAUCGGGAAGAACACCCGUGGCUAAGGCGGCUCUCUAGUACGGUACUGACGCUGAGACGCGAAAGCGUGGGGAGCGAACAGG